rnacentral:rRNA from 1 species
UGGGGAAUAUUGGACAAUGGGCGAAAGCCUGAUCCAGCCAUGCCGCGUGUGUGAAGAAGGCCUUAUGGUUGUAAAGCACUUUAAGUGGGGAGGAAAAGCUUAUGGAUAACACCCAUAGGUUCUGACGUUACCCACAGAAUAAGCACCGGCUAACUCUGUGCCAGCAGCCGCGGUAAUACAGAGGGUGCAAGCGUUAAUCGGAAUUACUGGGCGUAAAGCGAGCGUAGGUGGUUUAUUAAGUCAGAUGUGAAAUCCCUGGGCUUAACCUAGGAACUGCAUCUGAUACUGAUAAACUAGAGUAGGUGAGAGGAAAGUAGAAUUCCAGGUGUAGCGGUGAAAUGCGUAGAGAUCUGGAGGAAUACCGAUGGCGAAGGCAGCUUUCUGGCAUCAUACUGGCACUGAGGUUCGAAAGCGUGGGUAGCAAACAGGAUUAGAUACCCUGGUAGUCCACGCCGUAAACGAUGUCUACCAGUCGUUGGGUCUUUUAAAGGCUUAGUGACGCAGUUAACGCGAUAAGUAGACCGCCUGGGGAGUACGGCCGCAAGGUUA